CGAUCACACAGGAGUAGUAUCACUGUUGUCACAUCACGUAUCAAAGCAAGUAAGCAUUUACAUCAAACAUGCGAACAUUGUUGAUCUUCGCUUUAUUUUUCAUUCUGGUAAUCACUGUACAAGGCCAAGAAGACCAACCCGCUAACGCGAACGAAAUGUUGGAGCACGAUAUAGACGAUUUGAUAUUGGAAUUAGAGAGACAUGAUGAUGCAGAUGCUGAAGGAAGAUUAGGAAGAUGGGCAAGAUAAUGCUACGUACAAUGCCAGGACCCCUAUAUUUCCUGCUCAAACACAGCGCUCAUGAACCAUAGUAGUGGAUAUCAGCAUAUUAGGUGUUCAUGUAUAGAAAUGUGCAUGUUCACGUGAUUAACUGAAUAAAUAAAAUGCUUCCAAUCAA